AAUGAAAGGGAAAAUCAAGAAGGAAUCGGGAAUACUGGAAUCUGGGUGUGCCAAUUUCUAUCAGAAUCCAUAAAUAUUUCUUCUUUGUUUAAAGAUUGGCGGGAGAUUCCCCUGCGCUGCCCUAAUUUCAGCGAUCGCUGUAUUUAAAUGCCGAUGCCAAAGUUCUAGCGGCAUUGUUCGACAUCCGGAGCGGAAGUUCUUAUGCCCAAAUAGCAGAAAUAAGCUACGUCGUAUGUCUAAAUUUGGUCAGUGAUUUGCUUUGGUGAUGUAUUUUGUAUGCACAGUCGUUAAUCUUCAUAUUCUGCAUGAAUUAGAUUUUCAAGCUUUCUGAUCCGGCCAUUUCCGUUUCCGUUCUUGACUUUCUUGAAAAGGAGUUUACCAUAUGCAUUUUAUUGCAGUUUUUUUUUUCUUUUUUUUUUCACUCGGGAAUGUUGAUUUCAGCCUUGAAACCUGCAGGGGGUUCAAUCAUUUGAGUUGUCUAGAGCCCCUGUUUACAUUAUGCUGGAGUUAACAUCUAUGCUCUUUUUUUCGCGUCUUCCAUUAAGUGAAUUUGUUAAACGGAGUUCGAAUUUAGAUUGCAUCUUUGUUAGGAAUUUACUCUCCACAAUGGUUGGAUUUUGGAGUCCUUAAACAAAGUAUACUAUUUGCUCGACUCACAAC